ACAUUCAUUAUGAAGAUGAAAACAGUCGAUACAUUACCAUUGGAUGUGUGGAAAAGCCACUAUGUAUGCUUGCUUGUUGGGUUGAAGAUCCCAAUGGGGAUGCUUUUAGGAAGCAUCUCGCUAGGGUAGCUGAUUAUGUAUGGGUUGGAGAAGAUGGAAUAAAGAUGCAGAGUUUUGGCAGUCAAGUAUGGGACACAAGUCUUGUCCUCCAAGGUUUGAUUGCUAGCAACCUUUCUGAUGAAAUAGGGCCUACACUUAAGGAAGGACACAACUUUAUAAAGAAUUCUCAGGUUUCCAAGUUUAUGUCCUUAACUGUUCUUCCUUUGUAGUAUCAAGACAUAAAUUAUAACUUCAGUCUCUCUUUUCUGUUCCGACUUAAAAUUUAGAAGGUCACCGAGAAUCCUUCUGGUGACUUCAAAAGUAUGUUUCGUCAUAUAUCCAAAGGAUCAUGGACUUUCUCCGAUAAAGAUCAUGGAUGGCAAGUUUCCG
rnacentral:misc_RNA from 1 species